CCAGCUAUUUAAAGAGGAAAUGUCAUUUCGCUUCUCCAGCUCCCGGGUUCCGGCUCUUCUAAGCUUCCCCUAGCCAAUGGGGUGUACUGUGCAUUUGGCUCCGCCCCUAGCCUACGAAUUUCUGGCACUGAUUGGUCUCGACGCGAGCAUAUGCGUGACGGGGCAUGAUGUACACCUACUUCAUAUUCGUGGAAUUAAUAGUUAGAGUAAUCGUGGAACCAUAAGGAAUGAUUACUGAAGAAAUGCUAUACAUCCUACAAAUAAAAGAAAGUUUCACAAAGACAUGAAAGGAAAAAAAUGUGGAGUUUGCAAACACUACGGAGAGUUAAUCAUGGCAAUAGCAUCCGUCCAGACAUCACCUCGGAGCCUCGCCCCCACGUGGACCUCCAAUCAAGCUCGGGGCAGUUUCAGCUGAAACCUCUUCCUGCGGGCGUGCCAGAAAGACAGGAGCCGUCUCAGAGCUUCCUCCAGGACGCAGCCUCUGUAAGUAGUUCAACACUUGGCACCCCAGCGUGUCUCUUAUAUUAAUUUGGGGUUGUAUUUUGACAUGCGAUUCGCUAACCUGAAGUACAGGGUUGUACAGUUAGGCCCCAUCAAUGUGGGCUUAAUUCCACCAGUUAACUAACCUGCAAUUAAAGGUUUGAAAGAGCGGUACGUAUUUAGCUCACAGCAGCUUCCCCUGUAAGGAAGAGGCCGCCGGGUCAGCCUCAGAGCUGCUUUUUGACACCAGAGAGAAGGUGAAAGUGAGAGCAGCCAGGCGUCAGCGUCAACCACAGCUGUCCAGGACAGCCUGAACGCACAGCCGACUCUCCCCUGCCACCUAGCGCUGCUGGGAUUGAAAGGUCUCCUCUUUCCGACGUUCUUAAUAGUUUCUCCUGUGUGGACAAGGAGUCUAGCUGUCCUUUGCAAGGUGUAUUUUUUGUGAUAUAGCCAAGGUUGUUCAUCCUCGGCUGCUUUACUCUUCUUUUGAAAUUUGGAGCAUCUUGAUCUUUUGGAAAAUGAGUUUUGAUAGUUUGAUGUGUGGAGAAAUAGAACUAAACCGAGGUGGAUCUUAUAUAUUUAUAUGAAUGUGUACUUCUUGGAAUCAAUUUCAGUUUCAGAGUCGGCCCUUUGACAAUACAAUGCAGGUUUCUUUGGGAGAUUCUCACCUGUGCUCCCUGCCGUCUGGCUUCUUAGAAAUUGGUCCUUUUAUACAAUAGGCGAGAGGUUGGACAAAAAUGAAGUCUGGAAGCUCCAGAGCAAUUUUUGGACUAUGACCUUUGGUUAAGAAAUCUAAGUUUAGUGAACAUUUUUAGGGGAAAGAUGACAUGCUGUACUUCAGAACUUCCUUAGGGGGAAAAAGGAGACUAUGUUCGUGUUUACAGAUGCAGAAAAGCCCCUGACUCGCCCUUUCCAUCUUACUGCAGUGCCCUUGAGCUUCUGAAUGUUGGGGGUGUCACUUAAGUCUCUAAAGUCUUGUUUCCUUGACCUCCAAGGCUUGCAAAGGAAAGAGUUUAUGUCUAUGUAAUUACUAUGAUUUGUGUUACAU
rnacentral:lncRNA from 13 species